CCUACGGGUGACAGCAGUCGAGAAUCAUUCACAAUGGGGGAAACCCUGAUGGUGCGACGCCGCGUUGGGGAAUGAAGGUCUUCGGAUUGUAAACCCCUGUCAUGUGGGAGCAAAUUAAAAAGAUAGUACCACAAGAGGAAGAGACGGCUAACUCUGUGCCAGCAGCCGCGGUAAUACAGAGGUCUCAAGCGUUGUUCGGAAUCACUGGGCGUAAGGCGUGCGUAGGCUGUUUCGUAAGUCGUGUGUGAAAGGCGCGGGCUCAACCCGCGGACGGCACAUGAUACUGCGAGACUAGAGUAAUGGAGGGGGAACCGGAAUUCUCGGUGUAGCAGUGAAAUGCGUAGAUAUCGAGAGGAACACUCGUGGCGAAGGCGGGUUCCUGGACAUUAACUGACGCUGAGGCACGAAGGUCAGGGGAGCGAAAGGGAUUAGAUACCCGGGUAGUC
rnacentral:rRNA from 1 species